GAUGAAGAACGCAGCGAAAUGCGAUAAGUAAUGUGAAUUGCAGAAUUCAGUGAAUCAUCGAAUCUUUGAACGCACCUUGCACCCUUUGGCAUUCCGAAGGGUAUGCUCGUUUGAGUGUCAUUGUACUCUCACACUCCCAAUUGCUUUGGAUUGGGAGCGGUGGACUUGGGUGUUGCUGCUUGACUGAGGCUCACCUGAAAUAUGUUAGUGCACCUCUUGAUUGGACAUAGUACGGCGUGAUAAGUGUCUUCGCCGGCUCCUCGCAAAGAGGGUGGCCGAUCGGGAGCUCUGUUGCUUCAAACUGUCUUCGGAAAAUCUUCUGGCGACUUGACCUCAAAUCGAGUAGGACUACCCGCUGAACUUAAGCAUAUCAAUAAGCGGAGGA
rnacentral:misc_RNA from 1 species